rnacentral:rRNA from 1 species
UACGAAGGGGGCUAGCGUUGUUCGAAAUUACUGGGCGUAAAGCGCACGUAGGCGGAAUGUUAAGUCAGGGGUGAAAUCCCGGGGCUCAACCCCGGAACUGCCUUUGAUACUGGCAUUCUCGAGUCCGGAAGAGGUGAGUGGAAUUCCGAGUGUAGAGGUGAAAUUCGUAGAUAUUCGGAGGAACACCAGUGGCGAAGGCGGCUCACUGGUCCGGUACUGACGCUGAGGUGCGAAAGCGUGGGGAGCAAACAGG